rnacentral:rRNA from 1 species
UACGGGGGGAGCAAGCGUUGUUCGGAUUUACUGGGCGUAAAGGGCUCGUAGGCGGCCAACUAAGUCGAACGUGAAAUCCCCGGGCUCAACCCGGGAACUGCGUCCGAUACUGGAAGGCUUGAAUCCGGGAGAGGGAUGUGGAAUUCCAGGUGUAGCGGUGAAAUGCGUAGAUAUCAGGAGGAACACCGGUGGCGAAGGCGGUUCUCUGGGCAUUACCUGACGCUGAGGAGCGAAAGUGUGGGGAGCGAACAGG